rnacentral:rRNA from 1 species
CCUACGGGGGGCAGCAGUGAGGAAUAUUGGUCAAUGGGCUUACGCCUGAACCAGCCAAGUCGCGUGAGGGAAGACUGCCCUAUGGGUUGUAAACCUCUUUUGUCAGGGAGCAAUUGGCGCUACGUGUAGCGUUAUCGAGAGUACCUGAAGAAAAAGCAUCGGCAAACUCCGUGCCAGCAGCCGCGGUAAUACGGAGGAUGCGAGCGUUAUCCGGAUUUAGUGGGUUUAAGGGGUGCGUAGGCGGAAUGCCAAGUCAGCGGGAAAAUCGCGGGGCUCAACCUCGCUCCGCCGUUGAAACUGGCGUUCUUGAGUGGGCGAGAAGUAUGCGGAAUGCGUGGUGUAGCGGUGAAAUGCAUAGAUAUCACGCAGAACACCGAUUGCGAAGGCAGCAUACCGGCGCCCAACUGACGCUGAAGCACGAAAGCGUGGGUAUCGAACAGGAUUAGAUACCCCUGUAGUC